GUAAGUACUGCUAUGCCUAAAUAACUAUUAUUUUUUCUCAUAAAUUGUAUAUUCACAUUAAAGUGAAAAUUAACUUGCUGGAGAAGUCUAGUACAAUGUUGUGAUUUUCUGCAAACCAUCCUUCCAUGAAUAAAAACUGCAUGGAAGAUCUUGUGUAAUGUUAUGAAAUAUGUCACCACACAUAGCUUUAUGAAAAAAAGUUAUAAUUUAAAAUAUAGUUGCAGGGAUUAAACAUUUGCAUUCUGUCUAAACCAAGUUUCUUUAGCAGUUUGUUCCAUGGGAAGAGAGGAAGACCAGUGCUUCCAGGGUGAAGGGGACCCCCUUUCACUGGCAUAUACAAAUCAGGACAGAAGAAGCCAUCCCUCUUGUUUAUUCUGAAAAGACAAAGCAGAAAGAAAAUAUUAGGAAGAGAAAAACAGAUACAUACUUAACCACAUUUGCGCAUCAGUUUCUUUUAUGUAAAAGGAGCACUUUGAUAAGGUUACACUCACUGUACAGGAAACUAAAUUGACACUCUGCUCACACGCUGUGUGUCUCCAUAUGAGUCGUGCUCAUGCAAAACUCCCUAGCAAGGAAAUGCCUAGGAGUCAAACAUCAUUUAGUUGAGCCUUAUAAAUAGAGCUCAAAUUCAAAGGUGGCGAGGUCUGCUCAGAGAACAACCUGAAGUUCCCAGAGUGAAAUCAGAAUGGUCGGUUCGGCUGUGAUUGGCGAAUCAAGCCUGGUAAACAACUGUGGAACUUCAAAAACAAUGGCUGCCCAGUUCAUGCUCCAAACUGAUUGAAUAUGAAUAGUUGUGUGAUCUUAAUGGGUAGCUUCGGUGAGAAUCACUGCAAUAAAGAUUAACUGUUUAUCAUUCAUUAUUAGCUUGUUAUUAACAUUAAUACUGUAAAACAUAUUAAACCUUUUCUCUGAGGAAAGUCUAGGGAGAACAUAAAUGGGACCAUGGAUUUUAUCAGACCUUUCUUUAUACUUGCUAUUAUGAUGUUUGGGGACAUCGGAUUUGAAUUGUAGUGUGAAAAAAUCUAUGAAAUAAAGUUAUAUUGCAAUUAC
ensembl:lncRNA